GCCUUCAUGGUGUAGUGGUCAGCACGCUCGAUGCAUAUUCGAGAGGUCCGUGGUUCGAGUCCCGGCAAGGGCA
rnacentral:tRNA from 1 species